AGAAGCUUCCGGAAACCCCCGCCCCCUUCUCUGACGUCAACCCCCCCGUGCGGGACUCUUCAGAAGAGCGAUCAGCUGCAGUCUGCUCAGCAGUGAGAAAAGAAGACGUCAGUGAUGGACGAAUCAUCGUCAAAGAGAAGAACAACAAAGACGAGAGACGUACAAAGAUGAUCCACCAGUGCUGCCCAGUUUGAGGACAUUUCCAGUCACAUU